AUUGAACGCUGGCGGAAUGCUUUACACAUGCAAGUCGAACGGUAGAGGGGGCAACCCCUUGAGAGUGGCGAACGGGUGAGUAAUAUAUCGGAACGUGCCCAGUCGUGGGGGAUAACGUAGCGAAAGUUACGCUAAUACCGCAUACGAUCUAAGGAUGAAAGCGGGGGAUCGCAAGACCUCGCGCGACUGGAGCGGCCGAUAUCAGAUUAGGUAGUUGGUAGGGUAAAGGCCUACCAAGCCAACGAUCUGUAGCUGGUCUGAGAGGACGACCAGCCACACUGGAACUGAGACACGGUCCAGACUCCUACGGGAGGCAGCAGUGGGGAAUUUUGGACAAUGGGCGAAAGCCUGAUCCAGCCAUUCCGCGUGCAGGAUGUAGGCCCUCGGGUUGUAAACUGCUUUUGUACAGAACGAAAAGGUUUCUAUUAAUACUAGGAGCUCAUGACGGUACUGUAAGAAUAAGCACCGGCUAACUACGUG
rnacentral:rRNA from 1 species